rnacentral:rRNA from 1 species
GAUGAACGCUGGCGGCGUGCCUAAUACAUGCAAGUCGAGCGAACAGACGAGGAGCUUGCUCCUCUGACGUUAGCGGCGGACGGGUGAGUAACACGUGGAUAACCUACCUAUAAGACUGGGAUAACUUCGGGAAACCGGAGCUAAUACCGGAUAAUAUAUUGAACCGCAUGGUUCAAUAGUGCAAGACGGCUUUGCUGUCUCUUAUAGCUGGAUCCGCGCCGCAUUAGCUAGUUGGUAAGGUAACGGCUUACCAAGGCGACGAUGCGUAGCCGACCUGAGAGGGUGAUCGGCCACACUGGAACUGAGACACGGUCCAGACUCCUACGGGAGGCAGCAGUAGGGAAUCUUCCGCAAUGGGCGAAAGCCUGACGGAGCAACGCCGCGUGAGUGAUGAAGGUCUUCGGAUCGUAAAACUCUGUUAUUAGGGAAGAACAAAUGUGUAAGUAACUAUGCACGUCUUGACGGUACCUAAUCAGAAAGCCACGGCUAACUACGUG